rnacentral:lncRNA from 10 species
UCUCCUAGUGUGUCUGUACCUGGAUUUCCCAGCCUUGCAUACCUAGAAAAAUUCCACUUGGUUGUAGUGUAUAAUUUUUUAAAUACAUUGCUGUAUCCAGUUUGGUGAUAUUUUGUCGGGGACUUUCGCAGCUAUGUUCAUUAGAACUAUUGGUCUGUAGUUUUCAUUUCUUGUAAUGUCUUUGUCUAGUUUUGUUAUUAGGACAAUGCUGGCCUUAUAGAAUGAAUUAAAAAGAAUUUCCUCUGCUUCUAUCUUCUGAAACAGAUUAUAGAGGAUUUGUAUAUUUUCUCUGUUCAAUGUUUGGUAGAAUUCACAGAUAAACCCAUCUUGACCUGAAGUUUUCUCUUUCAGAAGAUUAUAAACUAUUGAUUAUAUUUCUUUAAUAAGUAUAAGACUAUUCAGAUUACCCAAUUUUUCCUGUGUGAGUUUUGACAGAUUGUGUCUUUCAAGGAAUUGGCCCAUUUCAUCUAGGUUAUCAAAUUUGUGGCCAUAGGGUUUUUAAAAAAAUGUAUUUAUUGAUUAUCCUUUUAAUGUCUAUGCAACCUGUAGUGAUGUCCCCUCUUUCAUUUCAUUUCUGAUAUUAGUAUUGUGUGUCAUCUCACUUUUUUCUUAGUUAUUUUGGGUAGAGGCUUAUCUAUUGUACUGAAGUUUUCACAGAAC